rnacentral:rRNA from 1 species
CCCUUAGAUGUUCUGGGCUGCACGCGCGCUACACUGAUGCGCUCAACGAGUUUAUGACCUUGCCUGGAAAGGUUGGGUAAUCUUCUUAAAACGCAUCGUGAUGGGGAUAGAUUAUUGCAAUUAUUAAUCUUCAACGAGGAAUUCCUAGUAAGCGCGAGUCAUCAGCUCGUGCUGAUUACGUCCCUGCCCUUUGUACACACCGCCCGUCGCUCCUACCGAUUGAAUGGUCCGGUGAAAUCUCGGGACGGCGGCUUGGUCGCUUGCGUCCGACUGCUGAAACUUGAUUAAACCAUAUCAUUUAGAGGAAGGUGAAGUCGUAACA